UGAGGAAUAUUGGUCAAUGGGCGAGAGCCUGAACCAGCCAAGUAGCAUGCAGGAUGACGGCCCUCCGGGUUGUAAACUGCUUUUAGUUGGGAAUAAAAAAAGGGACUUGUCCCUUCUUGUAUGUACCUUCAGAAAAAGGACCGGCUAAUUCCGUGCCAGCAGCCGCGGUAAUACGGAAGGUCCAGGCGUUAUCCGGAUUUAUUGGGUUUAAAGGGAGCGUAGGCGGAUUGUUAAGUCAGCGGUUAAAGGGUGUGGCUCAACCAUGCAUUGCCGUUGAAACUGGCGAUCUUGAGUGCAGACAGGGAUGCCGGAAUUCGUGGUGUAGCGGUGAAAUGCUUAGAUAUCACGAAGAACUCCGAUCGCGAAGGCAGGUGUCCGGGCUGCAACUGGCGCUGAGGCUCGAAAGUGUGGGUAUCAAACAGGAUUAGAUACCCUGGUAGUCCACACAGUAAACGAUGUAUACUCGCGGUUUGCGAUAGAUUGUAAGCCGCCAAGCGAAAGCAUUAAGUAUACCACCUGGGGAGUACGCCGGCAACGGUG
rnacentral:rRNA from 1 species